AAAGAAGUAAACUUCACACAUGCAAACUAUUUUCAUAUUAUGUGGCAGCCUUGAUAACAGAUGCCUUGUUUUUUUCCUUGCACUCAUUCCACUGCAGGUUUCUUAGAUGGGCAACAAAUGUAAUAAUAAUCAUGGCUGACCUGAUUCUUAUAAUUUCUAGUUAGAUCUAGCAAUCAGAACUAUUUAAUGGUACAAUAAAUUAAAAUCAUUCUACUCUAUCAACACUGCACCUCAAAGAGGAACAGUUAUUUGUGAGAUAAAAAGCAUGGGCUAAAUGAUGAAAAAGAAAAUGUCACAUCAAUUAAUAUUUUAUAUUAGCAAAAAUAAAAAAUAAUAAUUGAUGUCCUUGGGCAUACAUAGCCUAUAUUUCUAAAUUCCCUUCUUGCCAAACAGUGAGCUCUAGGUUCAAGGGUAUGAAGUGAACAGGAGUGUGUUUACAUUCUUUCAAAUGUAAUCACACUAAUCUGUGCAUACACUCAUACGUGACGUUUACUGCACACCGAUUAAAUUGCUCGCCAAAAAGCUCAGUUAUAAUUAUAUUUUUAGUUAUUUGUCAGGUAAUUUUUUUUUCUUUAGCCAUGUGAUCAGUUUAUUGUUACGUGCGUGGAUUCAACGCCAAUGACGUUCCAGCACGUGGAUGGAUGAACGCGGGAGAACAGAGCAUUUACCAGCGGCGCGUGCAGGUGGGUAGGGUCAUACAAUAACACGACCAGCGCAAUAGCUGAAUCUCAGUAAAUGGUGGCAUCUACAUAUCACUGCUUAACUAACUCAGACCUGGUAGGUCUGUAUUGAAAGAGUCAUGUGUUAAAUUAAAGAUUGUCUCGUAUAAAUCUGAAAGGGAGAAAUCGUAACGCUCGAUAUGUAGGCAGUAUUUAUUGGGAUAUUUACGCUGGAAGGUAUUAGAUUUGGAACUGGAAAGAACACACACUUUCUUCUGUGGAUAUUUUCAUUUGAAAGCUGCAAGCACAUUUUCUUUCCUUGCUCUGGCAUGAAAUGUAAGGAAUAUAGCGCUGUACACAGACAUUCUUCUCUUAAUUUGUCAGACUUCUAUACAAAUAUUUCUUUGGCAACCAACAACUGCACUUGUUGACCUUGAGCUUAUAUUUACCUAAUGCUAUAUUAUUUCAGACAGGUUUGAUACACAUUGUUUAUUAUGAAACCAGAAAUGGAAAACAGGACAGAAAAGUAUGGACCCAUUAUGGUACCCAGUGCAUGUCAAUAGAUAAAGUCAAAAUUUACUGUUGACCAUUUAUUGGUUAUCAGCAAUGAUUUGAGAAUAAUUUAAGCUUCCAUAUAGGUCAGGAAAUAUUUAUUUAUUUAUUUAAUUUUGCUUUCUUUGAAAUGCAAUGUUUUUCUUUCAAAAAAUAGCCACAUAUCUUGUGAUUUUCACAAUAGAACUGGUCGGGUAACAUUGGCAACUGGAGCUUGUUUUCCUCUCAAGGGUACAUCAUUGCUGCACCGUAACGAUACUGUAGAUGUGUAGAGUGGCUUGUAAAUCUUUCAGAGUAAGUGUGAGGUUAGAUGGACCAACUAUACCUUGAUGCGUCUUCCUAAACACAUCAAGCAAAUAUGUAGAGGCUAUUCUUAAUGUGUAUGUGCUCCUGCUGACUGACUGCAGCAUCUGCCAGGAAAAGGGUGGAAGUCGUGGUGGAAACCAAGCCCUCUAAACUGCAGGAGUUUUUUCAUCUUUUGGAUUCCAGCCACUGGGAUCUCUCUUUUUGCUUCCAGCUAGCUUCACCUCUUUGACAUAGCUCUUUGUGAUAAAUAAUUACUGAUGAAAUUUAGUGCAAAAUGUAAUUGUUCAGUAAAUAAAUGUUUCUGAGUAGCAUGUCA
ensembl:lncRNA